rnacentral:tRNA from 1 species
AGCUCUGGGGUGUUACAUGCUAAAUUGCAAAUUUAGAGAAGUGGAUUAGUAGUCCACCGGAGCUU